rfam:Photobacterium ganghwense strain DSM 22954 contig0001, whole genome shotgun sequence.
AUAGCCAAGGAUUUGGGUAGUCUCAGGAUGAGGCCGGUGUGCCAGGAAGGUAUAUCGAACAGGGACUGUGAAGGGAAUGCCGAGGAACGGCAAAACAGUAAACAGGAUGUUUGCUGGUCAGGACGACGAAAAGGACCCCUUCAGGAAGAAGGUAUGGACCCCUCCAGGAUGGAUGUUGAGAGUCAGGACAGGAUGAACUGACGGGUCAGGAAGGCCACAGGACAACUUCAGGAUGAAGUCAAAAGGACAAUGCUGACGGAUACAGCAGUCAAAGGAAUGAUGCAGGGAGCACCUUAGUAGCGGGAAUGCUGCAAGUAAGACCUAAGGGCGCAACGCAAGUUGCGCCCGUUCUUUUUUCU